GAGUUUGAUCCUGGCUCAGGAUGAACGCUGGCGGUAUGCUUAAUACAUGCAAGUCGUACGAGAGCUUUUAGCUCUAGUGGCGGACGGGUGAGUAACACGUGAGAAUCUGCCCUUAGGAGGAGGAUAACAGCUGGAAACGGUUGCUAAUACUCCAUAUGCCGAGAGGUGAAAGGAUUUAUCCACCUAAGGAGGAGCUCGCGUCUGAUUAGCUAGUUGGUAGGGUAAUAGCCUACCAAGGCGACGAUCAGUAGCUGGUUUGAGAGGAUGAUCAGCCACACUGGGACUGAGACACGGCCCAGACUCCUACGGGAGGCAGCAGUAGGGAAUUUUCCGCAAUGGGCGAAAGCCUGACGGAGCAAUACCGCGUGAGGGAUGACGGCCUGUGGGUUGUAAACCUCUUUUCUCAAGGAAGAAGCUCUGACGGUACUUGAGGAAUAAGCAUCGGCUAACUCUGUGCCAGCAGCCGCGGUAAUACAGAGGAUGCAAGCGUUAUCCGGAAUCACUGGGCAUAAAGCGUCUGUAGGUGGUUUAGUAAGUCUGCUGUUAAAGACUGGGGCUCAACCCCAGAAAAGCAGUGGAAACUGCUAGACUUGAGUAUGGUAGAGGUAGAGGGAAUUCCUAGUGUAGCGGUGAAAUGCGUAGAUAUUAGGAAGAACACCAAUGGCGAAGGCACUCUACUGGGCCAUAACUGACACUGAGAGACGACAGCUAGGGGAGCAAAUGGGAUUAGAUACCCCAGUAGUCCUAGCCGUAAACGAUGGAUACUAGAUGUUGCACGUAUUACCCGUGCAGUAUCUAGCU
rnacentral:rRNA from 1 species